GACGAACCGUGCAAACGUUGUUCGGAUUCACUGGGCUUAAAGGGCGCGUAGGCGGACCCAAAAGUCCGGGGUGAAAUCUUUCGGCUUAACCGGAAAAUUGCCUUGGAUACUGUGGGUCUCGAGGGAGGUAGGGGCAUGCGGAACUUCCGGUGGAGCGGUGAAAUGCGUUGAUAUCGGGAGGAACACCCGUAGCGAAGGCGGCACUCUGGGCCGGAACUGACGCUGAGGAGCGAAAGCGUGGGGAGCAAACAGG
rnacentral:rRNA from 1 species